CCCUGAGUAAGGGUCCCUGAAAUGUGGGAAACCCUUGUGCCCAUUCUCCCCAAGAGGAGCAGGUUUCCUUUGGGUUGGGAGGUAGGCAGCCAGCACUCUCUCCAAGCCCGAGCCAGUAUGGAUGGAUCCUCAACAUCCUCCGUUUUUGCACCUGGAGGAAAGAGGGAGCGUUUGCUCUUGGACGUUUCACCCCACCCCACCGCCCCCACCCCCGACUGUGGGAAGGAACGCCAAUUCCAAUUAUAAGGCUGAAAAUCAUGAGGACUAUAAAGAUCACAGAAGGCUUAAUAAAAGGUUUCAUUUGCUCAUAGGGUACCACGUGCAGAGGCCUUACACCCAGCCCUCCAGACCAGAGUUCCUGGUGUGAAAUGGCUACACCCAGCACCUCAGCUCACAGGCUAGUGCAGAAGCACUGCCCACGACCCCACAAUUCCAGAUGGCGGUAGCAGGAUGCAAAGCAGGAUGUGUGCAAAGAUGCUGCUCCUGGCACUGUGAUCUGGAGUCUGAGUAGCACAGCUGCAAGUAACCCAAGAACUCCACCUGUCCCAGCUGAUGAGAACCCUCUAAAGCAGCCCCACCAAAGGCUUUCCAGGGAGAGUUUGUAUUCUAGAGUGUGAGCUCACCCCUCUCCAUUAUUUGAUCAAAGAUUAAUGCUUUCCUUUACUCCAGAGCCAAACUUAGUUUCGUUCUACUGGUCCAAAUGACACUGGGCAGAAGGACCUUUGUAGGGGGCUGACUCAGAAGGAGAGUCGGUAACAAAAUUUUGGUGACCACAAAGGUACAGACCAUGGCCUUUUCAAUUGUGCCUAUGCACUAGGCUCCAAGCUUACCCAGGCUCCAGCUGGAGGAUGGCAGAGGCUUUGGGAGGUUUGCCUGAGGAUGACUGAUCUUCAAGUUCACUUUCACAGGGUAGGAUGGCUGCAGCCUUUGGGCAAAUUCAGAGCAACUGUCCAGCAACCUGAACCUGGGUGUAGUAUGUACACAGUGUAGCCCUGGAAUCAUCUAGACUGUGCCCCCUUUGAGGGGACUAUACUCUGGCAUCCUUGGGGACUGAAGCCUGAAACUCAUGCUUGUCUGCCUGCUGCCUCUGGCUGGCCUUCCUGUGGUACCAGACCCCCAGGGAUGGGGGGACCAGUGAACAAGAGGGGGCAUGCAGUCUUGCCCGCUGUCUCACCAGUAGUGCUGUCCUCUUGUCCCUUGUACAAGGCAGUAAUGGCUGCACCUGAACUUUCUGCCCUCCUUGCUGACCUCCAGGGUCCACAGUAGCAUUCUCCAUCGUCGCUUUUGUUUGGUGAAGGGAAGCAGCCAGCCCUGUGAGCCAAGAAGCAAGACCAGGAAAAGGCCCAGGAGACUUGGCAUAUCUAAAAACCUGGACAACCAGCAGCCUGCAAGAUCAGCUCACUCCUAUGGGGAAUGCACCCCACCUGGUGACCCUAACCAUCCAGUCUGCGCUGAAGUUACAGGGUGCUUCAUGCAGAGGCCUUGCCCCUGGCACCUCAGACCAGAGUUCCUAGUGGGAGAAGGGCUGUCCCUGGCACUUCAGUUCAGGGACUGUGUGCAGAACUGCCCUGCACAGCUCUCAAUUCAAGAUGGCAGCAGCAGCCGCAUGCAGAGACCUCCACCUGGAACUGUGAUCAAAAGGGUGGGUACCACUGGGCCUGCGCAGGUGUGAGACCUCCGACCCCUCCCUGCUGACAAGCUCCCUCUAAAGGAGCCCCAUCCCUGCCUGUUGGAGAGCCUGGACUCUGGAGCAGGGGCUCCCACCUCUCUAUUCUCUGGUCAAAGAAUAAAGCUUUCCUUUGCUUCUCAAAUGACUCCGUCUCAUUCUUUUGGCUUAAAUGUCAGGAGCCACAGGACCCUGAUUGGGGCUGUGACUUGAGAGGGUCAUUAACAAUAGCACCGUUCAUGAUAGCAUCAAUUCUUCAUGGCUUUACACGUACUGUCACUAAUUCUCAGAGCAUUUCUGGGAAAGAGGGGUAGUUUCCCCCACUUUACAGAUGAGAAAAUAGAAACUCAGAAAGUAUAAGUAAUACAAGCAAAAUCAAACAGUGUUGGAGCUCCCUCGUGGUUCAGGGGUUAAGGAUCUGGCAUUGUCACUGCUGUGGCUUAGGUCACUGCUGUGGCAUGGGUUCCAUCCCAGGCCUAAGGCCAAAAAGAAAAAUCACAGAGCAGGGAUUGGGAACUCGGACUUAUUUAUUCAGAACCAGUGUCACACUCCUCAUCUGCAGUCUCAAGGGCUUGAACCAGUGCUUCCCAGCGUGUGACAUGCAUACUACUGGGAGCACUUGAGAAUAUUUUAGGUGGUGCUCACUUAUUCAUUAAUUUCAAUUGUGUGUUUUAAAAAAUUACACACAAAAUACUUGCUAUUUUUAAAAUAUUUCUUAGGAAGAAUCCAAAUAAAAAAGUGAAUUGAUUUAAGGGCUAUUGUCUCCAAAAGCUUAGCCAAACGGCUAAAGAAAAGGGUUAAGUGAGUCCAGGUGAUGUGGCAAAAACUGUGAAGGUGGGAACGUCACAAAUGCCUGAGGUUUGGGGACUGCUGAGUCAGAUAAUAUGCUCCAGUGUUCAUUGGUUCCAUGAGUCAGAGCAGGACCAUGGCCUCCCUGAGCUUCUGGCACUGUGUCUCCCAUGCUUGGGUAUGUGGAUCCCUCUGAAUAGAGAGAAACAAACUGUGUAUACAAAAGACUUAACAGGCCAAGUUAUCCCACUCCUAAUACCUACCCCGCCCCCACCAUCCUGUUUCCCAUGCAUCCAAGUCUUUGCUGUUAGGUAUCUAACAUUCCUCUUAAGUGAGAAGCUUAAGGCAUAGGUCGCAAAGUGAUCGGCUGCAGAUGUAUUUAGUGAAGCCUGCACAGUGGUUUUUAAUUUCUGAAUCUGAAUGUCUUCAGGAAAGACAUACGUUCUAGUUUGCGCAGACCUCACUUCUCCACAUAACAUCAUCCUUCAUAACUCCAGGCCCCUGAAGGUACAUGAGUCUGUGACCCCUGGUUUCUUACCUUCCUCAAAGGUCAAAAUCUUUAAAGGCCCAGAGCACUGGUUCUUCGAUUGUGGGAUUUCAGAGCAUAGCGCUCCCAAGGAGCCAUCGGCAAUACGGAUGCCUAUAACACACAAUGAGUCUCUAAUGCGUAUGGAGUUUCUGUACCAGCCUUGCAGGAAAAGAAGUCAGGACCUAUGCCUCAGUCAGGAGGUAGAGAUCAGUCACAGCUUUUUAUGGUCCUUCCGGAGCUCAGUGGCUGCUUUGUGAUUUUCAGACUAGGAGUAGAGUGACACCUAGUGGCUGGUGUUAUUCUUCACACCCAGCAAUUCCCAAACCAUUUCUCCUUACUUUCCAUGCCUGUUUGGGUGCAGGCAGCUUGAUAUCAGGUUGAAAGCCUCACAAUCAUCAAUAAUUUCUUUUCUCUCUUCUCCUACAUCCCAUCCACUGCCAAGUUUUCUCAAUUUGACUUGUGUUGAUUUUCUGUGUCCUACCCCUUCCUGUCACUGCCUCUCUUGGUGCAUAAAUUCAUCUCUCUCAGUGCAAUAACUGUCUAAGAGUUCUCAUCUACACAUUACUGCCUGAUGAAUAUUUUUAAAAUACAGUUCCCUCAGGUCACUCCUUGGCCAGAAGUCAAUAGUUCCGCCACAACCUGCAGAAUAAAGCCCAACAACCUAGCCUGCUCAUGACUUGGUUCCAGGCUACACUUCUGGCAUUUUCCUCUAUUCCUUUGUUCUUCAACC